GGAAGGAUCAUUAAUAAAACAAUGAACUUUUAAUAAACUGAACUCUUAUAGCAGCUGUUAGUUGCUAUAACAUGAACUUAUAUAUCUUAAACCACAUAAGUAAAUUUAUUGGUUGAUAUAAAACUAAAUUUUCAACGAUGGAUGUCUAGGCUCCCAUAACGAUGAAGAACGCAGCAAGAAUGCGAUAUGCAGUGUGAAUUGCAGAACUAUGAAUCAUCGGAUUUUUGAACGCAACUGGCGCCGGCAAAACCGGCAUACUUGUUUCAGUGUGCGCAAACAAAUAAACAUCUUAAUGUGAGAGAAUAUUCUCUCAUGAAAUAAAUGCUCAAAGCAGCAGUCACAAUUAUUUGUGAGCUGACUAAGAGGAAACUUGUCUUAUAUGCACCUGAAAUCAAGUAAGAUGACCCGCUGGACUUAAGCAUAUUAUUAAGCGGAGGAAAAGAAAUUAACAAAGAUAGCCUUAGUAAGGGCGACUGAACCGGCUAAAGCUCGAAAUUGGAAUCGGCUGUUCAAAGAACUACCGAAUUGUAAUCAGGCUACCCUAAAUACAGUCGUUGGCUCAAGAGUCUCGAAAGGCUCGCCAAAGAGGGUGAAAGUCCCGUACAGCCUUCGUCUGAGUAAGGGAAGCUCCAGAAGAGUCGGGUUGCUUGGAACUGCAGCCCUAAGUGGGAGAUAUGAUUCUUCCAAAGCUAAAUAUGGAUGGGAGACCGAUAGCAAACAAGUACUGUGAAGGAAAGAUGAAAAGGACUUUGAAAAGAGAGUGAAAAGAUCUGAAAUCGUUGAGAAGGAAGCGGUAGAAACUGAUGGUCAUACUGAGUAGGCUACGAGGCGAAACACCUCGAAACCUUUACCGGAAUGACGGGCAAAAUGAGGUUGGACGGACUAAAGAAGGGUUAUGCCGAAAUGAGUCUGAACAGCCUGAGGGACAAUAGUGAUUUUGCCAAAAUGGUUUUUACCGUCCCGUCUUGAAACACGGACCAAGGAGUCUAACUUAUAUGCGAGUGUGCGAGUGGAAAAACUCAUACGCGGAAUGAAAGUAAAAGGUGCGCAGCGCAAGCUCCAGCAUCGACCGACCUAGUAAGAAAGGUUUGCGUGAGAGCAUAUAGGUUAGGACCCGAAAGAUGGUGAACUAUGCCUGAAUAGGGUGAAGUCAGGGGAAACCCUGAUGGAGGCUCGUAGCGAUGCUAACGUGCAAAUUGCUCGUCAAAUUUGGGUAUAGGGGCGAAAGACUAAUCGAACCAUCUAGUAGCUGGUUCCCUC
rnacentral:misc_RNA from 1 species